CUGUAAGUGGAAAAAAAUCGCCCGGUCUUGGUUUUUUAGAACCUACUGCUGCUGUUAAAACAACAGUGUCGCCGUAGCGGACAAGUGCUGCGCCGCUUGCUUGUUUUGCUAGUUGUCCUACUUCGAUAGACAGUUUCUGACCUGCCCAUUCUGUACUGAAAACUUGUUUUUCGUUUGUCAUUUUUACGCUCCUUUAGGAAACGCAUGGCUCACGGUCUAAACUUUAUCUUGCAUAAUAUGCUUCACGCACACCUUCAUUCAAAGGCACACAUAAAUCCAAAAACCUAAGUCAAAUUGCUUUGGGUCACGUUUUUGGAUUCAUG
rfam:Listeria grayi DSM 20601 genomic scaffold SCAFFOLD1, whole genome shotgun sequence.